AGCUCCUCUUCCGGCAGUCAGCCCUUUCCUUCCGCGGUCGGGCACGGCGGCAAUGAAAGCUGAACAUGUUCUCUGCCAGGAAGUUGUCUGGAGUUUUCAGAGCCAUCAGAUUCCAUCAUUUCAGAUCCCAUUCUGUAUCCAGAGCCUCUCCAAACUUGACUUUUGUGCCAGCCUGUCUUCCCCCAGAUCCCGCGGAAGUAGAGGAGCUGCAGCACUUUGUUUCUAACUCCAAGAGGCUGUUUGUAAUGACUGGAGCUGGAAUCUCGACCGAGUCGGGGAUCCCAGAUUACCGCUCCGAAGGUGUCGGGCUCUACGCCAGGACAGACAGACGGCCUGUCCAGCACGCCGAGUUCGUUCGCAGUGCCAGCGCCCGGCAGCGCUACUGGGCAAGGAACUUUGUGGGCUGGCCCCAGUUCUCCUCCCACCAGCCAAACACAGCACACCUGGUACUGAGGGACUGGGAGAAGCUGGGGAAGCUGCACUGGCUGGUGACCCAGAACGUGGAUGCCCUUCACACCAAGGCCGGGAGCCAGCGCAUGACGGAACUGCACGGCUGCACUCACAGGGUUUUCUGCUUGGCCUGUGGAGACCGAAUCUUGCGCUCUGAGCUCCAGGAGCACUUUGAGGCUCUGAAUCCUACCUGGAAAGCGGAGGCGUUUGGCGUGGCUCCAGAUGGGGAUGUCUUCCUGACGGAUGAGCAGGUGCGCAGUUUCCAGGUCCCGGCCUGCCGUAAAUGUGGUGGAAUCCUGAAGCCUGACGUGACAUUCUUUGGAGACACGGUGAGCCAGGAAAAAGUGACUUUUGUGCACCAGCGCCUGGCGGAAUCAGACUCCAUGCUGGUGGCAGGAUCCUCCAUGCAGGUGUACUCUGGUUACAGGUUUGCUCUUGCUGCCCGGGAGAAGAAGCUGCCAAUUGCAGUCCUUAACAUUGGGCCCACAAGGUUAGAUCACUUUGCAUCCUUAAAACUGAAUUCCCGCUGUGGGGAGCUGCUGCCUUUGAUUGUUGCACAGGACCCAACCCGCUGAGCUCCAGUAGCUGUCAGGAGUAAAGUUAUUUCUGCAAGGAAUCAUCAUCUCAGAAAGGGGAAAACCUCCAUCUAGGAGGCAGCUGUGAGAUCCGGUGCACGGCCGCUGAGGACACCAGGAGAGGGCAGCAGGCCUCACGCGUGUCGGCCUCGCCAGUUCUCUCCAUUGAAACCAUCAGGAAACAGGAUGAUGAUGAAAAAAACCACUUUUCUGCCUUACCUUGCCGUGCUGUUCCUCCUGAGGUUUGGAUAGAGGAGCUGAGAGUACCUUAUAAUGGAUUUUUCUGCUGCUCCUCUGAAAGUGAGGUUGGAGUUACCCAAAGCAAAUAAAAGCCACUUCCUAUUUGGCAAAUCUUGUCUUUUUUUCUGGGCAAAUUCUCAGAGCAAACUGUAAUGGAGCCCAGCAGCCUGAGAGAGGUAUUUCACACACUGAGCUCCAGUGAGGGCAACACAGACUGCAGAUGGCCUGGAGGGCUGGGUGGCUGUGGUGUAAGUGCAGCCUCCCACAUCUUACAGUCACAUUGCUCCUACUGACACACCUGCUUGUUCAUGACUUCUGGAAAAUGACCCAAAUCUACCUUCUACAGUGUGCUUCUUCUCCCAUAACUGCCUUGGAUGUCACCCUUUCCCAGCCUUUGCAGCAGGAAGGUGAAAGACUGUUCCAGACACCUGCAAUUCUGUCCUCUCCUUUCCCACUAGGGAAAGAUACCCAAGUACCACCUUCUGCACCACUAACUAGACAAUGGCAGGGAAGAAGAAAAGCUGAGCCUGAGAGGAAGACCAACAGUACAAAUGUCUUGUAUUGGUCUCAGGCC